UUCCGACUGAAACCGUGUACUGUAAGACUGCAGGGUCACAUAAUCAUAUUCCGACUGAAACCGUGUACUGUAAGACUGCAGGGUCACAUAAUCAUAUUCCGACUGAAACCGUGUACUGUAAGACUGCAGGGUCACAUAAUCAGAUUCCGACUGAAACCGUGUACUGUAAGACUGCAGGGUCACAUAAUCAGAUUCCGACUGAAACCGUGUACUGUAAGACUGCAGGGUCACAUAAUCAGAUUCCGACUGAAACCGUGUACUGUAAGACUGCAGGGUCACAUAAUCAGAUUCCGACUGAAACCGUAUACUGUAAGACUGCAGGGUCACAUAAUCAGAUUCCGACUGAAACCGUGUACUGUAAGACUGCAGGGUCACAUAAUCAGAUUCCGACUGAAACCGUGUACUGUAAGACUGCAGGGUCACAUAAUCAGAUUCCGACUGAAACCGUGUACUGUAAGACUGCAGGGUCACAUAAUCAGAUUCCGACUGAAACCGUGUACUGUAAGACUGCAGGGUCACAUAAUCAGAUUCCGACUGAAACCGUGUACUGUAAGACUGCAGGGUCACAUAAUCAGAUUCCGACUGAAACCUUGUACUGUAAGACUGCAGGGUCACAUAAUCAUAUUCCGACUGAAACCGUGUACUGUAAGACUGCAGGGUCACAUAAUCAGAUUCCGACUGAAACCGUGUACUGUAAGACUGCAGGGUCACAUAAUCAGAUUCCGACUGAAACCGUGUACUGUAAGACUGUCACAUAAUCAGAUUCCGACUGAAACCGUGUACUGUAAGACUGCAGGGUCACAUAAUCAGAUUCCGACUGAAACCGUGUACUGUAAGACUGCAGGGUCACAUAAUCAGAUUCCGACUGAAACCGUGUACUGUAAGACUGCAGGGUCACAUAAUCAGAUUCCGACUGAAACCGUGUACUGUAAGACUGCAGGGUCACAUAAUCAGAUUCCGACUGAAACCGUGUACUGUAAGACUGCAGGGUCACAUAAUCAGAUAACAUAA
rnacentral:lncRNA from 1 species